rnacentral:rRNA from 1 species
GUGAGGAAUAUUGCGCAAUGGAGGCAACUCUGACGCAGCCAUGCCGCGUGCAGGAAGAAGGCGCUACGCGUUGUAAACUGCUUUUAACCGGGAAGAAACCCCAGGACGUGUCCUGGGUUGACGGUACCGGAGGAAUAAGCACCGGCUAACUUCGUGCCAGCAGCCGCGGUAAUACGAAGGGUGCAAGCGUUAUCCGGAUUCAUUGGGUUUAAAGGGUGCGUAGGCGGAGCGUUAAGUCAGUGGUGACAUCCUGCAGCUUAACUGUAGACUUGCCAUUGAUACUGGCGCUCUUGAGUGCGCUUGAAGUGGGCGGAAUGUGCCGUGUAGCGGUGAAAUGCUUAGAUAUGGCACAGAACACCAAUUGCGAAGGCAGCUCACUAAGGCGAUACUGACGCUGAGGCACGAAAGCGUGGGGAUCGAACAGGAUUAGAAACCCUGGUAGUCC